GCUUAAACCCGAUAACAGCGGAUACCGGCCUUGUGGUGAAGGCCUGAAGGCGUAUGAGCGAAUAGCGGGGUUAAUG
rnacentral:misc_RNA from 1 species